CUUGGUGGACCUCACCUUGCCAUGUGCUUUUUUUCCAGCUUCUCGUACUGCGUGCUGACCUGGUCUGCUGGCAGGCCUGCAUUCCCUUGGGCUGCCAGGAGGCUCACCGCUGCUCCACCACUUCCAGGACAUCUGGGAUGCAGUCUGCUGGUAGCACUGGCUGGCACCAUCACCAACUGGAGAGAGGCAUAGUCUUUUUUCUUUUUUUUUCAGAAGAUCUUGUAUUUGAAACGUGAUCCCUGAAAUGAGAUCAAGUUAGCUGUCGGAUCCUCUUCUCUGAAGAGAGUAUCACUGAGGAACAGCUUGAGAUAAGCAGUGCGAACCAAAUGAGAGAUCCCGAUGGCUGUCAGAUCAGAGUAGCAGCAUUUGGCCAAGAAGACAAUCUGCCUUCCAGAUACAGACACUUGCCAUAGCUGUUGUGGUGUGCUUUGGAACGUGAUGUCCUCCACAGGUGGCAGCCAGCAGAGAAAACGUGGUUGGAUCUGCAGAGAUGUAGCCCGAUGCCAGGGCUGUAAGUGACACUAUGCGGGAUACAGAAAAUUGUUCUUGGACACUGUGCAGGUCUCUGUAGGCAGAGGGCUGGCACUUUGGAUUGCAACAUUACCGAAACGAAAAGCGUGAACACUACAGGAAUUUCUGCUCUAUGGAAAAAUGUUAUUUUUGGAUUCUUCAGGAAGGCGUGCGUAUGAAACCAGCAGUUCCCUGCAACAUUACAAGGAUGGAAGUCGUACCCUCUGACAGCCUCGUGUCCACUCUGUGGGGACGUCCCGGAGCCCAGGGUGUCUGCCCAGGAGGGGACCUGGCUGAGCCACCGCAGCGGGACCGUGUCCUGGAAGGAGGCAGAAACCAUCCCCAAGAGCAGCUCCUGCCCCAGACUCACACACAAAGCCCCACUGUGGCCAUGACCCUGCCAGAGCCUUGGGAUGCAGGCAGGCAUCACUCACACACAAACCUGCAUCUGCUUCCAAAACUAUCAGCACGUGACAGCUCCACAUCCCGUGGAAAUGCUAUCCUUCAGAGAGAAGAGCAGCAUCUCCAUGACCCCAGCUGAAGGUCCAGUCCCCGCACGUGAUUUGAUGGGGAUUCAGGUGACAGUGUAGAAGCACAGGAUGGACAGACAGCUCCAAACCCUUUGUAAAACUGGGAGCAGAUGUGGAAGUCAGCUCAGAUCCAAGUGACUGCACUCCCAUUCUUUUUACGUUUACCAUAAUGGAGCUGUGGGCUUCCAAGUGUCCUGCGCUAUUGAUUGCAGAUUUUAAUGAGCUUUAAAUUACCGAAGAGGUCUGUGGGUCAGAUGCCUUAGGAACAGGAACUGUUCCCAGAUGCUGAAUCCGGGGUUCAAAAGGCCCUCCUGAAGCCACGCAAGCAGGACACCCAUGGCCCCGCUGCCAAGAGCCUGAGUGCCCUUGCCUUGCCCUACUUAUCUGAAGAGCCUGUCAGCAUGUUCUAUAACCAGUGGAAACCACUUUAGAGCCGGAGCCAGACACCGAGGUGCCGGGGUCCACAUUUCAUUUCUUUGCAUGGGAAAGUUCUGCAGCAGUGGAGCCAGACCCUUCCCCGAGCAGCAUUCUUCUGCCUAUCUCGUUCUCAGCCCUGAGCUGGCAUGUUUGAGGAUUGACACAGGCCCUGCAGUUUGUAGAUUUAUUUUUCUUUUUUUCUAGGAAAGAGAAAAAUGUGGCCAUCAACAAUUGUUGCAAAAGGUUAAGCUGUAGCAAUUUUUAGUGCAACGUGAGAAUUUUAAUGGUGUGCUUGCAGAGAAUUCAAGCUCCACUGUGGGAAGUGUCUCAGCACUCUAUAACCCAAGCUCUUCUGGAUUCACCUAUGGGAUAAACCCACCCCUAGCACAGCCUUGCUCUUACCACACUGCUGCCCCACGUCUUGCACCAUUUCCCUCAAGCUUUUCCUUCCUGGACCAGUCAGUUUUGCAUUGCUGCAAAGCGCAAGCAGGACCAACAGCGCUUCCCCACUGGGAAGGAUGCGGGAGGUGGGCACGAGGACUACGGAGACAUGGGAACAACAGCCCACCACAAUGGCCUCUGAGCAAAGCAGUCCUACACAAGUGGUCACAGGAUCUCACCCAGAGAUGGGAGAAAAGCUCUAACUCACGGAGGCUCUGCAACGCAGACGUUUCUUUGUCAGGAGAAUGUUUUCCUAGGGACAGGUUCUUCUCCUUAAGAAACACUUCACAUAUUAUUACUUUACACAGAUUCCUGGUUGGGGAAAAACAGUGUUUAAAACCAGCCAGAACUGUUAAAAUUUAUGGUAUCAAAAUAUAUUCUGUCCAAAUAUUUAUACCGUAAACCAGCAUCGUUAACUGUCCCCUCGUGCUGCUCUUGGGAAAGAGGGGAGAGGAAUCUGAGACGUCUGAUGUGUAAAUUCCUUCGUUUAUCACUGUUUUAUUGCCUGGCAUGGCAACAAAAAGUGGCUUUAGAGUCUGAAUGAAUCUGGAUCUGAAGGAAUUCCUGUUGUCGAACAGCCCUUCUGUGGGCUGCAGGGGUGUUUUCUAAGUGACAUAUUUCCAGAGGCACCUACACACAUACUUGGCGUCCCAGCCCGCAUGCCAGCACAUGUUGUGAGCCUACAAUUACCCUCCAGGAGUUGAGCAAGCACGCUCCCAUUGAAUUGUCUGGCAGCGGGAAGGGACGUGGGGCUGUGGAUGAAGAUAGGAGGCGGAAAUAUGUCUGCGCUGAGACCAGGAUGCUCUAAGCAUCGUGCCUUUGCCUUGAAGUUGUGUAAAGUUUGUGUCCAGCUGGAUCCAGAUGCAGCUGCCAGCACACCCCGUGAGACCCCCACGCUGCCGCUGCUGCCCCACUUCAUCCAGCAGUGCCAGGGGUCUGCCCAUCGCACAGCACUGAGCUCCCUGCUACCGCAUCGCUCCAGGGCGAGCAAGCAGUGCUGCAGUCCUUCGUAAAAAUGAAUUGUUCUGCUUCCUGGAAUUAUUACUUUGCAUCGUAUCGCUUCUCUAUUAAUUACCCGUGCUUUUGGAUGAAAAGCAGCAGAUAGACAGGAGCGCAUUAUGUGUGUGAUUGAAGAGGCGGGGUUACGGUGUCGCUCCCUUUUAUUAUCUCACUGAAGUUUGGGUCUAAUGGAGUGGCUGUCCAUAUUCGCGUUCGUUUGACUGUGAAUGCCUGGAAAAAAAGGCAUCUAUGGGUUUAUUUGUCUUGGCAAAGGCAGUCUGAUACAUACAAUGCAUCUUUAGUUUUUGUAACAAGUUGAAAAACAGGCUGGAAAUGGGGAUGUCUGGAGAGCACGGUGAAGGGCGUCUGGGCAAGAGCCCGCACUGGGAGCUGCAGAGGAGCCCAAGGAAGCUCCAAAGGAAUCUGAAGGAGACCAAAGGAUCUCCAAGGAGCUCCAAAGGUGUCCAAAGGAGCCCAAAGAAGCUGCCAGGAGCCCAAAGGACUCCAAGGAAGCUCCAAAGGAGCCCAAAGGAGCUCCAAAGGUGUCUAAAGGAGACCCAGAGAGCCUGGAGGUGUCCAGUGGAGCCCCAGGGAGGUGCUGCAGUGGGUCCCAGCUUGUGCUCCCACUCCUCUGCCAACCUCAGGCCUCAAGUCUGCCUUAAAACCCAACAAAUGUGUGUUCUUUUGCAUCGUAACAAGGCAGUUCUUUUUCUCUGCCCCCUCCUCUUUGUGCUAUUGGCAUUUCUGUUCCCUGUAACCAUGAGGGCUACAAAAUGUCUUCUAAAAAAACUGAAAGUUGAGAUUCUGGUAUAUUUACAGGUCUCCCAGGACAGAAGCUUUACAAAAGCCAUCAAAUAUGAGGAUACGACUGUACAAGUUGGCAGUAGUAAGGUUUUCAUGUCCAAGUGUUUGUGUGAGUGAAAGCCCAGAUUCUCGUUUGUCCGAACAUUAUAUGGUGCGAUAAGGUAACAAAGUGCAUGGCCAAGAAAAAGCAGCCUGCAGUUUCAAAGAUGGGAGGAAGGCACUGUAAAAAUGUGUUCCAUUAAGGAAAUGUAAGAAGGAUCUUCUGUGUCAGGCAGAGAGUGAUUUCUGGGGCAUAAGCAUGGGAGCAGGCACCUCCUGUAGCAUGGGGGUGUGCAGCAAGGGUUUGCAAGAGGCACGCAUCAAAGCAACCUGAAAUUUCUCGACCUCAGGUAUAAGCGGGUGAUCCAGGAAAACUGUUCCACGCUAUUAAAUGAAGAAAAAAAUGAAUGUGCUGUUCAUUUAGAGGUCAGAUGGAAACCUCAGCUCCUCACAGGUGGCAGCAGCGGCUGCAUGGCUGCCCAGAAUCCCAUCCCCACGUUGAUAAACCUCCUCAGUACUUGCUGUUACUGAUCUGCAAGGCCAAGCUCUGUUGCUCAGGAACGCCUGUAAUGGUUUCAGCAGGCAGGGUUUGGAUGUCCUCAGGCAGCAGAUGUGUCAGGAGUUAGCGAUCGCUCGUAACUUUCUGGCACCGUAGCAGGAGCGGUGCCAGCGCUUUUGUUGUGAAACCUAAACCCACGUGAACCGAGUGUCACCGGCAGCACGGUGAGGUCAGGCUCAGGGAACCGCCGAGCACGGGGCCGGGAGCUGAGGGCACGCGGGACAGCCCCGAGCUGCUCUGGGCCUGGCUCCAACUUGCCCGUGUUUCCGAACCGACCGGUCUCAGCCGUUGGCCUCAGCCUGCUUUAAGCUGAGGCUGUGCCUAAGUUUUAAGAGGAACCAUAAAAAAAUAUGAAGCAUGUGGAAAAGGGGACCUGGGAGCAGAGGAGGGCUGCAGGAGAUGGCUGCCAUGUGCUGUGCCAUAACCCUAACCCUCACCCUAAGCACCCAGCUGCUGGGGACAUCGGUGACAUCCCCAAGUGUGCAGGCUCCAUCCCUUCGUGGUGAGCCUGAGUCUUAAGAGGAAACCUGAUCUGAAAAAGCUCUGGCUGUGGGCUGAGCUCGCAUUUUUCCUACAAAGAGGCUCAGUGGGACCAAGCCAACCCUUCACAGCCUGAUGUAUUUUCUGAAAGGACGUUUGUGCACAGAUAAGAGCAUUCCCAAAGCUAUUUAUGUCCCAGCCAAAGGGCCCUGCAGUGGGAGAGGACCUGCAUUUUAUCUCCCAGUGGGAAAUGAGUAAAAUUAGUUUUCUGGGGGGACAGGGUGAGAGUGGAUGUUGAAUAGCCCAUCCCCACAUUACAGAUGGAGCUGGCUGGACGUUGGGCUGCUCUGGGCAGGCUUUGUUCCCCCUCUCCCAAACUGCGCCACUUUGGGUGAACCAAGAUCUUUAAGCAGGAAAAACCUGCCAGCCUCCAAAGGAAAACUUUUGUUUUCAGAAGUGGUCAGGGGGAUUUGGCCAUCUGCUUCCAGCUUGGAGAGCCGGGCCAUGUGAAUGCUGCCCAUUGGAUUUCCUUCCAUCACCAGGCUGUGAGUUUUAGUAGCAGACAGAAUUCAGCCUUACCCGGUCAUCCAAAAUACAUCUCAAGUAAAAUUUAACUUGGCACCUUUUUGAAAUUUGGCCAUCACUAAUUACGCCUGCAAUUAAUGGCCUGUUGGAGGCUCUGGGAGCUGAUGAACUUGAGUCUGCUCCAGGGUCAGGGCUUGGCUUCGAGAAAUGUUUUGAGAUACCGUUCUUAGGGAAGAUAUUUGACUGGGCUCUUCAUUUAGGACAUAGCCUAAUGGGUGCUUGGCUCAAGAGAGAACUAACAGCUACGCAGACUAUUUAAACGUGACCUGGAGAAAAUAGGUUGGCAGUGCGUGUUAAACAAAACUAUAGGCUUCUGCAAAAUGGAAACAAAAUGUAACCGUGCACCCAAAUCAGUGCCCUGAAACACAGCGAGACACCGAGCAGGCAAAAAGCUGGUAGUAGUUCUUCGCUGUCCCGUAAGCUAAAUGUGAUGUUUUGCUUUAAAAAAGCUGCCUCUUGCUUGUUUGAUUUUUCUAGCGUGAUCUUACAAAGCAUGGCCCUCCUGCUCCCCUCGGAAAAGCAGGAAGGCAUAUUAAGAGCGCUGAUAAAAGGUAAACAAACCAGGAGACACAGAGUUUCUUGAUAUGCUCUAAUUGAGCUCGUUUCCUUGCUUCGGCUUUGAAAAGGAACAGCCAUGAGGCAUUCUUGAGAGAGCCAAGUGAACUGCUGUUAUCUCAAAAAGGUCUCCUUCGUGUCUCGCUCGUGGGGCUCCAAGUCUGCUCCGGCCACUGCCUGGAAGUCUAAGAAAAGAAGUCUAUGGCCGCUGAUAAAGCACCCAUUUUUAGGCCUUGGGAAGGAUGGGGUUGUUGACAGUUCAUUCCUGCGAAAAUUCAGCGCGCUCCAGCCCCCUGAUUGUAAAUGGAAGGGAUCUAUGGCAGCACUAAUGCAAAAGGUAUGUGAUUAGAUAGUCCCGCCCGCUAUCUGCCCGGCUUCCCGCCGAUAGCCGGCCCUGCUGGUGCGAGAUGGGAGCCAUCAGCGUUGCCAGACUGACGCCAGGCCCUUCAGCAGCCGCCUCGCAGAUAAGGGGAGAGGGCUGCGAGCCUCACGUAACACAAUGUUUCCCCAGUGGGUGAACUUGAGCAUUUCUGGCUGCAUCUUGCACAGACAUCUUGCGGAGCCAGGGAAGGGAUAAAAUAUCGUUUCAGACUGUGAGGAGUCCAAAAGUUUGCUGCAAGAGGUCCUGUCACAGCUGCUCAUGGCUCGCUGCUAUCUCCCAGGCUUCAGCCCUCUCUUGGCUGAGACCAAAGUGAUGCCAGAAGGAGCAGCGCCCUCGGUUUGUGCUGGUGCUCCGUGCUCAUGGGACAGCCUGCCUCAAAGCCCGGGGCCGGGGCAGAAACAGAAGGAAAAUCUGCCCUGAAGGGAUCUGGGUAGUCGCAGCAAGAGGUUUCUUCCACCAGGAGCUUCACUGCAUCCUUUGGGUGAACAAUCCAGUGAGUGAUCCUUCUAAAGGCUUGUCCAUGCGGCCGUUGGGACUUCUGACAGUGCAUAGAAGGCCUUUGUAAGACUCUCCUCAGUGAGACGUACUGCAGUUAGGAUCUCAGGUGCACCAGUUGCACUCAGUGGGCCGGGAAAUGGUUUGGACCCACCUCCACGUCGCACCACCACAUGGCAGCUGCUUCCAGGAAUGUGCUGCAAGCGCUGGGUAGACCUGAACACCACACAGACAUCGUGUUUCCUUCUUAAGCCUUAUCUUCUCCCACACCCUCAAAGAAACUUAGAGCUUAUUCAUUCAUUAAAACAGAAGGGAACUUUCCUCUAAUCUUUUCCUAGUGACUCACAGGCUCUGUGGCUGCCAUCAGAGGCGUGACCGGGCUGUGCGUACGUUGACACGACCAGUCUCUGGUCUUCCCAUUUUUGGGUGCAAUGACCAGUGAUGGGAAGCGGAGUGGGCUUCCAUGCUGGGAGCCAAGCACUGGAGCUAGAAUGUGAUUCCUGGGGCUUAAGGUGAGGACGUGUGUGCCAACCUUUGCCCCAAGCAGCGUCCUGCUCUAGGAAGCAUCCCGUGGCCCAGCACACUGUGACACCGCAGGCAGGGAGCUGGGAGGGAUGCAGAGCACAGCGUGUGCUCCACCAGAGCUCUGUGUGGGCUCACGUUAGUCAUUGUUUGCAAGCGUCUGAGUGAUGGCCAGGACUGAUAGACAUGUCUGCAGAGCCUUGAAGGCUCGUAACUGUCGGCACAAAAGAGCCUCCUACUGAAAAUCCUUAACCUUAAACCUUGAAAGCCAGGAGCCUUCGCUGGCAGCUGUUUGCCACAGGGCACCCGGGCAGUCCUGCACCUACAAGGAGUGAGUGUGGAAUUCAUUUCAACCAAACAGAGCUGCAAACGGGAGAAAGAAUAGGGUGACAUUUGCAGCAAACGUUGCACUCACUAAAUAACAAGCCCUGGCUCCUCGCGUUGCAUUUCUGUGAUGCUUGUUUUGCUCUUCUCUAUGCUGGGUGCUUUUCUUCCUCUCCGUUUUCUCCAAAAUUUUCUAGUACUUGUUGUGUUUUCCGUGGAGAAACCACAUGCAGUGAGAUGGCUGUGAGGUGUCACAUGGAGUAUGCGUCUGAUUUUCCUAGCUUGCCAAUCCAGCAAGCUGGAGAUAAGUCUGAGUGGCUUCUUACAACAGCAGAGCUCAAGUGCAGUGAAUUAAUCCUGAAAGAAACGAGCAUCGUGCUGGGGGACGGAUGGAUGGCACGAGCUCCAACAUCCUGCUGGCUCCCAGUGCAUCACCUCCUGCAGCCAGAGCACAGUGUCCAGAGAGGAAGAAAAAGGGAAAACCCACUUCUCCUGUGGCUGCUGCUGUGUGUGAGUCCUGCUGCUCUCACCCUGGUCAUCACACAGAGCAUUUAUCUACAUGGGCUGGGCCAGGUUCUAGGAGCAGCUGUGGAGUUCAGAUGCUUUCAGUUCCCACCUGGAAGGAGCAGGGCGAUGUGUCUCCUGGCAGAGCUGUCCCGAUGGCUGCUGCAGCCAGCCCUCCAGCUGCUGCCCAUCCUGCCCGGUGCUGCUGCAGCGCAGCGUGGGCCACGCGCUGCUGGGAGCACACUGGAAACCAAGUUUAAACACGCAGACCACUGUUUAUUUCAGUGAAUCAUGCGUGCUUAGCACCUGAUCCUGCUAGCUCCAGAACAUCUCCUGGGAGAUCUUGAGAGCUCUCAAGUCCUUACUGAUAAUGCAAUUAUCCCUUUUCAACUGAAAACGAAGGCGGCAGCUCUGUUGUUUGGGGAGUUGCAAGAGAGGGCUCCGUGGUUUGGGUUUUGCUUAUGAAAACCCAUUAGGGGCUAGCUCACCCCGUUAAUUGCCCAAGUAGCAUCUUGCAACGCGCACAGAUGUGUGCAAACAAGUGGUUACAUGAACAACAGAUGCAGUUAAACACACACCUAGCUGCACAGCAAAUUGUUUCUGCUUGCUUGCUUACUGCGUGUAUCUCAGGAUGGGUUUGAGGAGCAGGACCACCGCGGCUGGCAGCAGCAGGAGGUGGGAGCAGCCAACGUCACAUCUGCACCCAUCACCUCACUGCCAGCCUGAUGCAGAUUGGAGCUGCCAGGGCAGGGCUUGGGGACUCCGAUGGAUUCUGAAUCCAGCCCUAAGCCAUUGGAAGCCAUUCAUCUGCCAGAGCAGAUCUCGGUGUAACCACUGAGCACCAUCUGACACAACCAGCACAAGUCCCACAUGGAGCAAAGUGCAUACCUAUACGCAGAAGCUUCUCUCAUGGUGCUUCCUGGGAGUUGCUUGGUGACAAGAAUAAUGUUAUUACACACACACACACAUGUUCUAUUAGGCAUUACCUGCAGUUAGAAUUUAUUCAUUGUUUUCCUUCAGCAGGCUCCAGCCCUGCAUUGUGAAGCUCCAUACAGAGCGGGUGGCAGAAGGGAGACAGCUCCCAGCGUUGGGGCCGUGAGUCACAUCCCUAUGUGCUUGGCAGGAUAAGACCCUUCACUCCUUAAUGCCUGAAUGGAAGGUCAUUAAAACAACACUGUGCUUUGGGGAGGAUACCAGCUCUAUGGCAUGCUUAGUUUAGAGGCAAGUGGAAGUCUUGCUUUGAGCCUAAACUGGUUCAUAAAGCAUGAGCUCAGAGCAGAGCAGCAGAGACACCCCUAGGACCAUCUGUGAUUCACUCCUGGCCGUAGCAGGGCCUGCCUGGGGCUCAGAAGCUGUAGGACAGCCCCUGCUCCAAGAGCGUGCAGACCACAGGCUGGAUGAAAUAUGGGAUGUGGGAGACACCCACCCACCAAUGCUUCAAGAAAUCCACGGUGGAAAUUGUUUUCACAGCCCAACAUCCCCAUGCGUCUGAAAUAACCCUAUCCCGGACGCCAGAUCUUGCUUCAGUCUGAUGGAGCUCUGAGCAACCCAUCAACCAAACUUCUGAUGGAGCAGUCAGAGCCAAGGGGUGGGUGAUGAAAUGUGCUUCUCUUUAAUCUGCCUGGAUUAGGUACAAUUCAUUGCUCACUGGGAAGGACCUGCAGCAGGAUAAGUGAUGUUAACAGCAGCUGAUCUGAUAGUGCCAGAGCAAGUUCCUACAGAGCAGUCACGUGGAGCUGGUGCAGAGGCAGAGCCCGGCUCUGCAGGGAGCCAGGGGAACACUGCCCCAGCUGAUGGACACGAGCUAUGUGUUCCGGAGGCCAAAGGCAAGGGCAAACCAGCGUGGUGAAGGCACCAGCCCCGAUCCGUGGGCACACAACCAUUUAAAAACAGGGAAGGGAAUAGCAGUAACCUACUAUAGUGCUGGUUGUGGUGUUUCUUGAUGCCGUCAAAAGGCAGCUGCGUUAUCAAAUCACAGAAUCACGCAGGUUGGGAAAGACCUCUGAGAUCCCCAAGUCCAACCCCACCCACCCCACCAUGCCCACUGCCCAUGUCCCUCAGUGCCUCAUCUCCACGGUUCUUGAGCACCUCCAGGAAUGGUGACCCCACCGCUGCCCAGCAGCAGUGCCGGUGCCUGACCGCCCUUUCAGAGAAGGUAUCUUUCCUAAUACCCAACCUGAACUUCCCCUGGUGCAAUGUGAGGCCAUUACCUCUCACCCUAAAUGAAGCUGUUCUGCUUUCUCAUUAGUGGAGAUAUCAGAAGAAAGGAAACACGUAGCUAUCUGGGGAUUUUGAGCAGAAGAAAGGUGUUGUUUCAAAAAAUGACUGGUUUUUGGCUGUGCUCUAUUUUGAGAGGUGGAGAGAAGGGCAGGGGCUGCUUUAAGGUUUGUGAGUGCUUGGAGCUGAACGCUCGGCUGGUUCUGUUUCUUGUUUCACCGAGAUGUGCGUUCACUUUCCAAACUGAACCAUCUCGAGCCAUUCUGUUUAUUAACAGCCUGCUUCUGGAGCCUUAGUGACUCCACACAGGGCAGUUAUCCCGUGCAAAACAAAGCAGGAAAAGCAAACAAUGCCCAGUGCUCACUUGCAGAGGAGCAAAGAGCAGCAGUGCCACCAACCCAUGAGGAACUGAAUGCUUCAGGCAGUGGGGAGAUGUGGCCCAGGGCAGAGCCGCCCUGCGGGGUGACAGCAGCAAUGGAGCAUUUGGAAACUUUUGUCUUUAGUAAAUGAGACCGUUGGUCCAGCAAACCAAAGGGGAUCUUCAUGGGUAGCAGCAUGGUUUGGGCUCGUGGGAUCUGAGUGGAGCUGGACCCCCACUGGGCUGAAAGCACAUGGAGAGAAAAUGGGGCUGUUCCAGCUCUCCAUAGGACGUCACCUGGCAUUGUGAAAUGUUGAGAGGGUUGUUCACGGUCAAAUAAAGCGUGGAGCUUUUCCCAUGGCAGGGAGAUGGCCCUAGAAAUGUUCUUCAUCGUGAAAACCCAACGUCACCCAGUUCCUGCCUUUCCCCUCCUCUGACUACAUAUCAAAUCCCCUUCACGUCCCUCGUUCCUCUGGGACCCGCAGCACUUCGUGCAUAGAUGACUUUUUUCUCUGCCAUAUUCAACUCAUGCCCCUCAUGAAGACAGCAGUGUGCCUUUCAUCAGUUCUAGCUCUUUGGUUCAUUUUUCCUACAGGGGAAGAAUUCGCUGUGAGCAUCCCUGAGCCCAGGGUGCUCAAUUCUGAGAAUAGUUUGGGGAAUGGCAACGUUACAAAAUGUCAUUUCAGUGGCAGCACAAGGUAUCUGCUUAAUGACAUCUUCAAGAUCCGGCAGUUCCAGUAAGGGAGUUUUUAUGAAAGCAUUAAAUCUGGGAUAAAAAUGGAUUAUUGGCACUUCCAGGGUUUGGGGGGAAAGGUUCGUUCUUGCUCUGAAUAAAACAAAUGGUUUACGAUUUUUCUGGGAAAUGAGGAUUUGCACAAAAAUGUUGGUUUGGUUGAAUGCGUGCUUGGACUUGCUCUCAAAACUUUGCAGCACUUUAAAAAUAGAAUGAAAUGGCAUUUACAAAUGGAGAUUAUUUCGAGUCAAAGCAUCAAAAUCUCUCAUUUUGAAAGGCUUUGAUUUUUCUCCUAAUAGAAAUUCGGCAUCCACAUUACAAGGAAGCGACCGGCCUUGGGCUGGUGCGUGUCUGAGACAGCUAAUUUUGUGUCUUUAGCUGAAAAUCACUCAUCUGGGCGGAGGAGCCGAUGACCCAUCGUCUGGGGAGGGCACCAGGUAGGCUGCGAGGCAAACGAACUCGUUAUGCCACGGGCUCGGCGGCUGCUUUGCUCCCUUUGAACACCGCAAGAUUCCUACUUGUUAGUCAUCGCGCAUGCAGUCGGACACAGAUUCUUUCUUAAACAUUCACAUAUUUUAUGAAGUUAGAAAGGCUUUUAAGAUGCACAAACCCCGAUGUUUUUAAUGAGUUUAACAACAACCAGGCGGAGACCAAAGCACGCGCAGUCCCUGGGUCUGACCCGCUCCCAAUUUCUACUUUCCAAAUUCUGAAGUCCCUGUGUUCCUUUCCAGACCAUGCAGGGCUGACAAAAACAGCUUGCUUCACUGAAGCUUCACCCAUAGAGGAAGAGUUUUGGGGUAUUUUGGGUUACCCAGCGCCUGCUAACCCACAGCACAUUGGCUUGUGCUGGACUCGCUUUGCUUUGUUUUACAGGGGAACCGUUUUGCUCCAGGUGUCCUGUACAGAAACCCUCUUUCUCGUGACAUUGCAUUUAACUGAGCAGCUAAAUCCCUACUCCAUGAGGCAAAAACCUGCAGCUGCCAUGCAGCAGAGGCAUUGCAGCUCUGCAGGGACAGGAGCUCAGAGCCCCAUGCAAGGGCAGGAAAAUGAUUCCAAAACAUUCACAAAACAUAAGACAAAUCGUGAAAUAUUCAUUUAAAAAAAAAAAAAGCUUGAAUGUUAAUUCCCACUCGCACAUCAGCAGCAAAGUAGAUUUUGGAGAUGAGGAAAUGAAACCACAAACCCAGUAAGCUGCUCGUGGGGUGGUAUAUGGGGCUCAGCACUGCAAAGGAGAGCAGUGAUUCCAUCAUGCAGAGGGUUGGGCUCCAGGUGCAGUCCCCGAUGUCACACUGAGCCUUGCGUGCUCCUCCUGCUCCCAGCUCAUGAGCAUUUCAUCUUAUCAAUGGAAGCACCCCCGAGUUGAGUUGGGCAUUCUGUACAAUUAUUGGGAGCAAUAGUUGGUGUCAAGAGUUGUGUGCAGAAAAAGACAUUUUUAAUCUCUUUAACACCUUUUUGAUUUUGCCCAACUCUUUGGUGAUUCCUAGCCUGAGCAAGACCAAGCACCAUGUGCACAACCAAUAGGUUGGGAGCCCCACUCCUCCUCCUGGACACGAACCCAUCCAUCCCCAUUUCCCCUUGCAUCCAGAGGCUCAGAGCCACAUCCCCUUGUGGGAUCUGAUCCGCGGGUGACUCUGUGUGCAUUACCAGUUGCUUAUUACUCAUGCUUCCAGCAGGACGCUUUCUUUAUCUGCAGCAAAUCCCCCCCAGUGCCAUCACCCCAGCCCCAUCUUUGCUUUAUCUCUGCCCGCAGUGGGACUGAGCCUGCCCGCAGCCCCGCACCGCCAGCCCCGCGCCUUCAAAGGCAGAACGGGGCUCUGUAACUUGAGUCUUUAACAACACAUGGCAGAAGCUACAGGAACUGGCCUGUGUCAUGUCUCUGAAUGGCUUCAUAAAUAUAACACCGAGGAAUUUGGAUGCUCUCGGGUGAUGGAUGUUUGCGUUCUAAGGGAUGCGCUUUCUGCCUUGCCCUCCGGAGCAGCCAUAGCCAUCGUGCAGCUCCUUAUCCCAUCCCUACGGCCCAGAGGGCAGGAUUCAGCCCGUGCCACCCAUCCCCAACCCACCACUGUUGUUGUUGACCCUGAUUCCCACCCACCCCGGACACAGAAGCCACACGCAGAAAGAUCCGAUGCAAAAAAAAAAAAAGAAAAGAAAAAAGCGAUGGAAUGUAUUUAUCUGCAAACAAUAGCGUGUCUGGAUGGAAAAUCAGUGUUUUACACCAGUCAUGUGGUUGCUAUUACUGUUUUCCAAAACACCCAGAGGUACUUGAUGUGUUAAGUAUGAGCGGCCCUGUGCUCUUUUGCUUAAAAAGCGAAGUGUGUGUGUCUGCACCUCAAAGUGCUCUUGCGUUGAUGCCCAAAUGGCUGCCGGAGGAACUGCCCAUUUAUCUGCAGGCAUGGGCUCGCUUUGGGAGCAAGAUGCCACAGGGGGCAUCUGCACGGCUCCGUGAUGGCGUUUCCACGUUCCUUUGCCAUCCCUGGUGCAGGAGAGCGUGGACGGAGCCGGAGGGCUUGUUUCCUCGUGCAAACCCAAGCUGUGCCGAUGGCCAUUGAGCGAGGAUUUCCAUUUUUGGUGCGAGCUCAGCCUUAAAAUAGACAGUCUUCAGCGAGGAAGAAACUCUGUUGACAGAACAUAGGGAACAUUCUUCCCGCGGCUCUCGCUCGGGGCUAUCUCGGCUUUAAUCUCAGUGCUUCCUGCAGGUCUCCCCGGCCCCACUUCCCUCCCAUUGUUGUGGGGUUUGGAAGUGACCUCAGGCUGCAGACGGCAGCCCACGGGCAGUGACUAACCCGCCUGUCUCCAUCCCUUGGACAUGUCCCAUCCACUAAAUAAAUGACAGGCACCGACACGUGAAUAGAAACACAAACAGCCCGACAGGGAGAUCUUAACUGUUUGUGGCAGGGAGAUGUCCCAGCAGUGCUGGGGAGGGGACGGCAGCGCCGCGCGUGGGGCAGAGCGGUACCAGCUGCAGGGCGCCGAGCCUCCGAUAUUAGCUUUAAUUGCUGGGGAUUCUUUUCUGAAGCUUUUAUCUCUGCACUGCUGUAAUUAAAAGCGCGGCCGUGCGUCUGUGUGUCUGUCUGGCUUCAGCGUGAAUAAUUCCAUUGCGAGAGGUAGCACCGUGAGGACACGCUGCAGUGCUGCGACCCUACAGCAUACCUAUAGGGAUCCCUACGAGCAGCCAUGGGUCAGCCCACCUGGCCCUACCUGUGGCACACACACGCAUGGUCCCACUUCCCCCCGCAUCCACUGCUGGCAGUGGUGGGGAUGUUCACACCGAUGCUGCUCCUAAAUGGUGAAUGUGGUGCCCCAUCCCUGCAGUGCCCGAGGCUGGGCUGGAUGGGGGCACCCAGCCCACGGUGGGGGUUGGACUGGGUGAUCUUUAAGGUCCCUUCCAAUCCAACCAUUCUGUGAUUCGAUGAUUCUAAAGAGAAUUGGUGCUGGCCACAGCCAGACAUCAUGACCAAACCCCAACCCCAGCAUCCUACAGCCAAGUGAGACCAGACCGAGCCGUCCCAGCACGCUCUGCCUUUGAAAUCUAACAAUAGUUUCACCAAUAAGAAUAGAAUGAGUGUUAAUAAGCUACAUUUGUGGAUUUUUUUGGUUGGAAAAGCAGGAAAGUAUUCUCUUUAACAGAAUCAAAAUCUCUUUUAAAUGCUGUAAUUGCAAUAAUUAAUAAUGCUGCUUAGCAGUUAUUAGCACUCGGUGCAUUGUGUGGAUGUCUGCGUUAGCUAAGGUUUAAUAACGAGCUUCAUAUAAAGCCAGGAGGAGAAAAUAACGAUAUGGGGAGUGGCUGCAGCGCUGUGGUCUGAUGGCUGCUUGCUUUAAUGUAAGUAACAAAUAAUUCCCUCUGGCUCUCAACAUUUGUGGAUAAGGCCAUAAAGAAGAAAAUAAGAAAAAGAAAAAAAGGAGGAAACCUCAGCUCAUAAACAUGCUGCCCUUGCUUUACGGCUUCGAGAGAAACCUUUGUUGUUGGGCUAAUGGCGGUAUCAGUAACGAGCAGUGGGACAGUGCGUGUCAUCCCCCGGUCCUAUGCGUGUAACAGUGGGGCUGUUCUUGGUGUCACUGUCACUGUCACUGUCACCCAGCCCGUGUCACAGUGAGGGGAGUUGGAGGACAGCGAUGCCCUAACCUGGCUUUGGAGACUAAUGGCUUUUUGUGCAAUGCAUCUUAUUCACUUUCCUCCCAAAUGACUCUUGCUGGUAGAUGCUGUUCAGCAGCGGCUGUCCUCUGCCCCAGGGCUGGGUGAAACUCAGGGCAGAGAGACACUGUGCCUUGGGAUGUGGGAUAGUGGUUGUGGGGACCCCAGAGAGUUCUGCACCUCUGCACUCUCAGCUCAGCUCACUGUAUUCAAGGUCAGCUGGACGGGCUCUGAACACCUGAUGGAGCUGUGGGUGUCCUGGUUCAUUGCAGGGGAGGUGGACCAGGUGGCCUUUAAAGGUCCCUUCCUACUCAAACGAUUCCAUGAUUCCAUGAUUCUGAGAUCUGACUGGCGUAGGUUCAUCACCACUCGCUCAUUAGCUAAAUACAAGGAGUUAAUCCCCACCGACCCCGUAAGUGGCUGGGUUCCAUCAGGCAUCGCAGCCAGCUCCAGCACUCCAUCUGCUCGCUCGUGUCCCGGAUCAUGAUGGGCUGGGCUGGUGGGGAGCUGUGGACACCCUGCAGCCCCCACCCCACCGUGCCCUUCUGCACGAGCAAGCCCUGCAGAUCCCUCCCGCAGCCGCAGUCGAAAGAGAGUUUCAGCACCAAAAGAGAUACACUAGGGCAUUUCAGCAACGACCGCCCCUGCUCCAGAUUCAGAGCAGAGCGGACACUCUCCCUUCUGCCCCAGUGAUUCUCACAUCCCCAUUUUGAGGCUGCAGACAUCUGGGGAGGCACCAGACCGCACCGUCCCGCAGACACAUCCCAGACCCUCUCUGGAAGCCUUUUUAUGCCCUCGCUGCCUUCAGCCCAUGACUCAGUCCCUAUUUCUAUUCUCUUCCCACUUCUGUUCCUCCUUCCUUCAGUCGGCGGCAGCAGCUUCGCUCCUGUGCUUUGUGGCUGCUCUCGCCGGGUUAUUAUUGGAGACGACUGCGAAAUAACAGUGCUGCUCUUUAAGACGCUGCUGCACCGCUGCAGAAAACAUUUCCCCGCGCCGCGGUGAGCAGCCCUUCGCCGGAGCGCUGGCGUCGGCUCUGAGCGCCCCAGACGCCGGUCACCGAGCACAGAGCUGCUGCAACAGAACAAAUUGCCCAGGGCAGCAGAUCCCGGGGAGGGAGAAGAGCCAGCAGCCCCGUCUGUCUGUCUGUCUGUCUCUGUGUGUUUUCGAAGGGAGAAAAAUUAUCUUUUUACAAGCCUGCCCCAGUUGGCUCCGAGCGGCUCUUCCCAGAAAACACCAUCGUAAAUAGAAGAGCGAACCCUCGCACAAGCGGACAGGUUGCCAUUUAUAUCUGACCUUUCUCAGAUCUGCUUUGAUGUCUUCCUCAACCUAGGCUUCCUCCUGUCCUGCCCGCGGCGCAUUUAGCUCCCGCUGCUAGGAGAGCACCGCUGGACACAACAAACCCUCCGCAGUUAAUUAAAGCCAUUCUGAUAUAUAUAUCCACCUCUACUCCCUCUUUUUUGAACCGGCUCCGAAUGCAAUAAUCCCGCUUUAAUCCCCCCGUCCCGGGGAGCUUCCAGUUCAGUGUUUGCAAAUGGUAUAGGUAGAUAUGGAUAGGGAUGGGGAGAGAUCUAUUUUUUAAGGGUUCUGUGCUUGGCACAUCACCCAGUGACAUCGGCUGCUUUUCUUCCUUGGACAGAUCCGGCUCGAAAAUGGCAAUUCCCAACACCGAGCCAAAACAACAGCACAGGGCGCUGUCAGAACUGGGCGUUAUCUGCCUGGAAAGGAGUCCGGCCAGGCAGACUGUCUCCACAGGCUGCUGAACAAAUGCUGAUAAAAAGGCCAAACCCCUGUGUUUGUUAUGGGUGGUGAAGGUUUGCGAUGGAUCCCCUGGUGGACGAGGGAGGCUGUAAUUCCCUUCCUAUUGGAACACAGCAUCUGGUUGAUGUGAUAGUGCCAGGCUCCCACAGCCAGAACAGGACAGAUGUUUGUGGCUGGCUCUGCCACGCUGCCUGUGAAAACUGAGGCCAAGGGAGAUGCUUCGGGCUCCUUUGGGCUUAGAAAACCCCAAAGUGCUUUCACCAUAGGGCCUUGAACUGUGCUCAUGUCUUCAGAGAAUCAUGGAGUCAUGGUAUGGCUUGGGUUGGAAGGAACCUCAAAGCCCCUAAUGCCCACCCUGCCAUGGAUGGCUGACCCCACAGCUUGGGCUGCCCAGCACCCACCCACGGCCUCGGGCGCUGCGGGGAUGGGGCACCCACAGCUCCAGGCAGCCUGUCUUCAUCCUCUCCAUCCCCAUGCCGCAUUUUAUUAGGUUGUGAGUGCAAAAGGACAUUGAAAAUCCCUGUCAACGGCAUCAAGACAGACACUGGGAGCUCUGGUGAAUUAGGAGGAAUUAGUACCUGCAUUUCAUCGUUAAGUCCCACAUAGGACCCAUAGAAGAAAUAAGUCCCCAGCAAAGCCAGAAGCCAACGGCCCCCAUUGUGCAUCCACAGCUUCUCCCUGGCUGCGUGGUGCCACAUCACAGUAACCCCAAAUGUCUCUUUGCACACAGCCCACAAUGUACAGCAAGGAAACGUCCCGGUCAGGAUGCAUUUGGGGUCAUCAUGUGUUUUUCUAAAGUAGAAAAGUGUGACUGUCCACCCCUGUGCUGUCUGUGCUUCCAAGCCGCUCUUGUCCUGGUUUGUACGGAGCAGGAGCAAAGAUUUUUGCCACACAAAGAAAUGCUCUUCCUAGCAAAAAAUAGAGGGAGAGAAAGGAGCCAAAGCAGAAAGCAAGAGCCAGUGGGAGAGAUGGAAGUAGGGCUUUCCGGUGGGGAACGCAACACCUCUCUAUGCUGCAAGGGCUGGCACUGGAUUCAGAUGAACGCAUAUAUCUGCACUGCCUGAGAUCCCAGUGCUUGCCUUGGGUUGCAUCAGGUCUGGUUUGGGUUCGUUUUCCUAUAAAAUGAGAGCAGCAGCACAAGGGUAAUCCCGUACUCAGGGCACGGACCUGCAGGUUCAGUCUCUGAGAGGGAUGUGACCCCAACACCCCACGUCCUGGGGGGUGCCCUCCUCCCUGGGCCUCAAGUCGGGCUCUUUCCUGAGUAACUAACUGCUGAAUUACUGACACACACUGGCCCAGAAGUGAUUUAGAGAAAUGCACCUGCAAUCCCCCUUAAAGCCCCAGGGUCUUCCUGACGUGAGAAGCCAUAUCCCCGUGUCCCCACAGAAUCACAGAAUCAUUAAGAUUGGAAAAGACCACUGAGAUCAUCUAGUCCAACCAUCCGCACCUCCCUGUGUCCCCACGUCCCCAUAUCCUCAUGUCCCCGUGUCCCCGCUGCAUGCCAGGGUCCCCUCCGGGUUCCAGCAGCACCUUGGAUGGUGCCAUCACCUGCCGGGAAAUGAUUGUACCCCUGUGGUUCCAACUCCAAGUCCUAUCCCCUUGCCCUCCCCCAACAACCCUUCACGGAAACCGGUAGGCUGCAGCCAAACAACCCAACAACCACCGGUUCUGCCCAAGUGCCGUUUUCUGCCCCGUUUUCUGCCCCACACACACGUGAGAACGGCACCGGGCGCUCGGUGCCACCGCUCCCCCCCGCGGAGCCGCCGCAGCGCUGGAAAGAGUGAGUCAGCGCUCCGCACCCGCGGGAGGUGUCGUGGGACGGGCCCGGGGAGUUCCCAUUAACCCCAUUAACCCGUUCACGUGGAUUUCAGGGCCGGGGAGAGGCGGCGGUGGGGGAAUUGGGGUUUUUCUCCCCCUCCCCCCCCCCUCUUUCCCCUUCCCGAUGCGGUAUGAAGUUGCGGUGCUCUCCUCCCCACUCGUCUCUGUCGUCGCUCUGGGAACGAAAGCAGCGCCCGCACCGCCGGGAUUGGGAUGCUCCGAACGCUCCCCCCUGAAUGUGCGUGAGCAAAUGGUGCCAGCGCUGCGCUCCGGGCUGGCUCCGCGUGCAGCUCCGCGUCCUCGGGAGCGGGCGGUGCGGCCAGGAACUGCUGUCCCAGCGCAGCACCAGCCCCGUGCCGGCACCGCACUGCAGCAGCGUCCUGCAGCCGGGCGUCCCUGUACGGUGCCGUGGUGGAAAAGUGGGGGAAAAAAAUGGGAAGGGAGCAAACACAGGCUCCAAACUACAAGGAUAGUGGUGGGAAACAAAUUUUGCAUCCCUUCUCAACCUUUUGCAUCCCCUUGUAUCCCAUUGCAACCCCUUCCAUCCCAUUGCAACCCUUUGUGUCCCUUUCCAUCCCAUUGCAACCCUCUGCAACUCUUGGCAUCCCUUUGCAACCCACUGAAUCCCACAGAAGCUCCUUGCAUGCCAUUGCAACCUUUUGCGUGCCCUUGUAUCCCAUUGCAACCCUUUGUAUCCCUUUGCAUCGCACUGCAACCCUCUGCAACCCUUAGGCAUCUCUUUGCAUCCCUCUGCAACCCCUUGCAUGCCACUGCAUCCCACUGAAACCCCUUGCAUCCCUUUGCAACCUUUUGUAUCUUUUUGCAUCCCUUUGAAACCCCCUCCUACCCUGUGUACCCA